UUGCAGGUAAAGUUACAGUGUAGCUGAUCAGUGCUACUCUGUCGUUCCCCCUGCAGAUAGAAAAUCUGUUUCUUUCUAUCCUUGUCUGCCUACAUCUCAAGACGGCCAGGGACGCUUAGUUACAGACAU